GGCAAUUCUAUUUGUCCAAGAGCAUUCUUACACAACUUUCUUUUGUAAAUUUUUCUUUCAUGCCAAAAAACAUGCGGGCAAUUUGUUGAUGAGGUGAAUUAGUUGUCCCUCUUCUUGUAGAAGACCCUUUAGCUACCCCUCCUAUUGCUACUCGUGCACCUUCCAUUACACUCCCCCCUACCUUCCGCCCCCUCCUCACCAUUAUUGAGACCACCAAAGAUUCCCUGUCCAUGACCUCUGAGGCGGGGUUACCUUGCUUGUCGGACCAAGGCAGCGAUGGUUGUGAUGAUGAUGGCUUGGUGAUAUCUGGGUAUGGCUCAGGGGAAACCUUUGACUCUAACCUGCCCCCUACUGAUGAUGAAGAUUUUUACACCACCUUCUCCUUGGUAACAGAUAAGAGUCUUUCCACUUCAAUCUUCGAAGGUGGCUACAAAGCAUAUGCGCCCAAGUGGGAAUCCAAGGACUUUAGACCUAACAAAGUCUCCGAAACUAGUAGGACUACUACCACAUCUUUGUCCCCUGAGCUGAUCCGCUUCACAGCUUCCUCCUCGUCUGGGAUGGUGCCCAAAUUGCCAGCUGGCAAAAUGAAUAACCGUGAUCUCAAACCCCAGCCUGAUAUAGUCUUGCCUCCGUUGCCCACUGCCUAUGAGCUAGACAGCACCAAACUGAAGAGCCCACUAAUUACUUCCCCCAUGUUCCGUAAUGUGCCCACAGCAAACCCCACAGAGCCGGGAGUCAGACGGGUUCCGGGGGCCUCAGAGGUGAUCCGGGAGUCGAGCAGUACAACAGGGAUGGUCGUCGGCAUUGUGGCUGCUGCUGCCCUCUGCAUCUUGAUCCUCCUGUAUGCCAUGUACAAGUACAGGAACAGGGACGAGGGGUCCUAUCAAGUGGACGAGACGCGGAACUACAUCAGCAACUCGGCCCAGAGCAACGGCACGCUCAUCAAGGAGAAGCAGCAGAGCUCGAAGAGCGGCCACAAGAAACAGAAAAACAAGGACAAGGAGUAUUACGUGUAAAA